rnacentral:siRNA from 1 species
AGGGUUAGGGCAUUUUCUUCAA